rnacentral:tRNA from 1 species
GGGCCCGUAGCUCAGCAAGGUAGAGCGGCGGACUUCCGACCCGUAGGUCGCGGGUUCAACUCCCGCCGGGCCCGCCA